CACUGCAUGCUCCGGCUUCGGGGAAAAGCUUUCAAAAGCAACAAAUACUCGGCUCGAGCUCCAGCUCUUUCUCUCCUGGAAAGCCGUGUCCCACUAAACUCCCCCCCCCCUCCAACAGCUCCCAAAAUUAGCUCCUAAUAUGAUGAUGAUGAUCAAUAUGAUGAUGCUGCUGAAAUCCAGGUGCAGGUCAUGUUCGCAGUGCCUCCUCAUCUUCUUCUGCUUCUUCAUCUUCUUCCGAGUGUUGUCGUCGGCUAAUGCGGAGAAGGGCGGCGCGACGACGGUGGCCGGCGGCGCCAAGGGGGUCGAUGGCGGGGGGGAGUUGGGAAUGCACCUGAAGAGGCUGCCGCGGCAUGCGGCGGCGGCCGCUGUCGAGGCGUUGCUUCGGAGCAGCGAGAGGAGGGUUCCCAACUCCUCGGACCCUCUACACAAUCGCUAGCUAGUCUCUGACUCGGAGCAAUUAAUGCUAGGUCUACAACCCAAAGUGGUUUACUGAUCACAAUCAGUUUGUUAUUCCCUUGCUUUAGGUCUGCAACCCAAAGUGGUUUACUGGUCACGAUCAGUUUGUUGUUCGCUUGCUGCGCUUCACGUUACUACUUCAGCAACUGCAGUAAUUAAGCUGUAGAUAUUUGCGUACUUUGCACCUGAUUUGUUAGUCGAAAUUUGAUCAAGGGUUUUUUUUUUUUUUUAUAUUCUCUCUCUAUGUUGAUCGAUUAACAUGUGCGAGUGCGGAGCUGAGUACAUGUCCGGUGGUUUGAGUAACAAUGUGUGUAACUUUUGUAUUCAAGCUCUGCAUGUUAAUAAAUUGCCGGUAAAAGAAUAUGGCCAUCUAAAUUUUACAAAACAUAGUUACGAACUAUGUUGAUAAUUUCAAAGUUUAGAUAAAUUUU
rnacentral:lncRNA from 1 species